rnacentral:rRNA from 1 species
UAACGCGUGAGGAACCUGCCUCAAAGAGGGGACAACAGUUGGAAACGACUGCUAAUACCGCAUAAGCCCACGGCUCGGCAUCGAGCAGAGGGAAAAGGAGCAAUCCGCUUUGAGAUGGCCUCGCGUCCGAUUAGCUAGUUGGUGAGGUAAUGGCCCACCAAGGCGACGAUCGGUAGCCGGACUGAGAGGUUGAACGGCCACAUUGGGACUGAGACACGGCUCAG